rnacentral:rRNA from 1 species
AGAAUCAACGCUGGCGGCGUGCCUAACACAUGCAAGUCGAACGAGAAAGGGGAGCAAUCUCUGAGUACAGUGGCGCACGGGUGAGUAACACGUGACUAAUCUACCCUCGAGCGGGGAAUAACAAAGGGAAACCUUUGCUAAUACCGCAUAAUACCUACGGGUCAAAGGAGCAAUCCACUUGAGGAGGAGGUCGCGGCCGAUUAGCUAGUUGGCGGGGUAAUGGCCCACCAAGGCAAUGAUCGGUAUCCGGCCUGAGAGGGCGCACGGACACACUGGAACUGAAACACGGUCCAGACUCCUACGGGAGGCAGCAGUGGGGAAUUUUGCGCAAUGGGGGAAACCCUGACGCAGCAACGCCGCGUGGAGGAUGAAAUCCCUUGGGAUGUAAACUCCUUUCGAUCGGGACGAUUAUGACGGUACCGGAAGAAGAAGCCCCGGCUAACUUCGCGCCAGCAGCCGC